ACCAGACUCCUACGGGAGGCAGCAGUGGGGGAUAUUGCACAAUGGGGGGAACCCUGAUGCAGCGACGCCGCGUGGGUGAAGGAGUAUUUCGGUAUGUAAAGCCCUAUCGGCAGGGAAGAAGCAAGACGGUACCUGACUAAGAAGCCCCGGCUAACUACGUGCCAGCAGCCGCGGUAAUACGUAGGGGGCGAGCGUUAUCCGGAUUCACUGGGUGUAAAGGGAGCGUAGACGGCCAUGCAAGCCAGGGGUGAAAGCCCGGGGCCCAACCCCGGGACUGCCCUUGGAACUGUGCGGCUAGAGUGCGGGAGGGGCAGGCGGAAUUCCUGGUGUAGCGGUGAAAUGCGUAGAGAUCGGGAGGAACACCAGUGGCGAAGGCGGCCUACUGGGCUUUAACUGACGCUGAGGCACGAAAGCGUGGGUAGCAAACAGGAUUAGAUACCCCAGUA
rnacentral:rRNA from 1 species